UGGAGGCAUAGGAAAUCCUGUAUGUUUCUGUCUAUCCUCCCAGCAUGGAUUCCCCAACUCAUUGUUAUCUUCCAUUUUUGACCUUGCUGACAACAGGGUGCCUCAGCAUAUUUGUGCUUGUCCUGAUCAAAAAUUCUGUAUUUGCACAAGGACAAAAAAUCUAGCUGUCUUGGUUUCUUCCCCCAGAGUGAUUCUUGACCCAUGGUAAAGUGGCAGUAUUGGCUAAAGGAUUACCAAUGGCUGAACUUUGUGUGACUUUUUCCACAUAGGUCUUUCAAACCCAAAAGCUUCUGAAACUGCACUUUAAUUCUGCUUCUGCUGCCCCAGUAGCCCCUCCACCACCUGGUGACAAGGCACUUCUUCAACAGGAAGCCUGGGCCUAGGGUGAGAGGAAUGAGGUACUUAACAGGGACAAAAAUUUUAAGCAAAAGCCAAGCAGCUUUCUUCAUAUAGGAAAACAUUCUAAAAUUUAUAUGGAAAAGAAACUAAGGUUGUUAAAAUGAAAGUGAAACAAUCACAGACCUGAUUUUAAAGUUUUAUUUAUAGCUCUAGUAAUUAAAACUGGAAGAGGCGUGAGACCAGGUAAAUGAAAUAGAAAGUCCAAAAUAGGUAUACAAAAGUAUGUUUAUUUAAUUGAUUUUGUUUUUAAACAAAACCAAUGAAGGAAGGAUAGUCUUUUCAAUAAAUGAUGCAAACUUUGAUUUUGGAAACAAUAAAACUCUCAACCUACACUUCAUACAUAGAAAAAGUAACUCAAAAUGGAUCACAUAUCUGAAUGUAAAUCACGAAACUUUAAAUCAGAACUUUAAAUUAGAAUAUCUUCUAAUCACAUUCAAUAGUAAUAAGAACUUUCGUCAAUUCAAAAUGAAACAAUCCCAUUACAAAAGAUCUCUUCUCAAAAGAGAUAAACAUGGAAAGAUAAGCUUAUCCAGAAAACGAAAAUUAAAACCCCAAUGAAAUAUAUACAUGAUAGGUGUAUAUCACUAUACACCUAUCAAAAGGGCUAAAAUUAAAAAUACAGAACCAAGUAUUAGAAUGUGGGGUAACUGGAUCUCAUUUUUGAAGGAAAUAAAAAGUAAUACAGUCACUUCAGAAAAGUUGGGCAGUUUCACAUGAAGUUGAGCAUAUUUACCAUGAACCAGUCAUUGGCCAUUGUACUCCUGAGUAGUUAUCACACAAGUUAAAAUAUAUGCACAUACAGUAUCCUGUGCACAAAUGUUUAUGGCAGCUUUAUUUGUGAUAGCCAAGAAGUGGGAACAACUUCAAUAUCCUUCAGUUAGCAGUUAAACUGGUAUACCAUAAGUUAAAUACUAUUUAGCCAUAAAAAGGAACAAACUUGUUACAAAACAAUAAAAGCAUGGGGGAUGUGGCUCAGUGGUUGAAGCCCUUGGGUUCAAUCCUCCGUACCCAAAACCAAAAAGGGUGCGUGCGGGGAGACAGGGUCAGGCAAGGGAGUUUAUAUGGAGUUUACAGAAAUCAAUGCUUGUGAUGAAAUUUCAUAGUACUACACACCAAAAUAAAUAAAAGUAUUUAAAAAUUGAUGAACUGUAAGUAAAGUCUACUUAGUAGUGUUGUAUUGAUAUCAAUUUUCUGAUUGUGAAUAUUUUCUGGUUAUGAAAGAUGUUAUCAUUUGGGAAAGCUGAGUGGCACAAUUUUUGCAACGUUUAUUGUGUGUGUGUUAUAUAAUUUGUUCCUAUACAUAUAAGUUGUGAACAGGUAGUUAAUCUGUAUUAGUUCUGUUUGCCCAGCAAAGUUCAAAUAAAUAAGAAAUUGUUAGAGCAGAAAGAACUCGGAGAUCACUUAGUCCUAAGGUUCUCAGAUCCAGGGAACAUAGAAUUCCGUAAGCCAUUUGUGUUAGAUUACAAAUAUCAAUUUUCUGGGAAAACAAUCUAUCUUGAAGGUGCUCUAAGGAGAAUCUGUCUUCUGACAAACUCAGGUAAUUCUUAGGUAGCAAUCCCCUGAUUUUCCCCACUUGUAGGAACCAUUGAUCUUAUCCAGCCACCUCAUCUUACAAAUUAGAAGCCCAAAGAAGGUAGCUCUUAAGAUUUUAAAAUUAAUCACCCAAAUAAUCAGGAUAGCUGAGAUCAGAACAAUAGUUUGUUCUCUAAUUGAAAUUGUUCCAGUCAGAAUGUCAUCCUAUUGCAAAACAAUAAACACUGCCUUAACAGUAGCUACUUAAUAGUAGUCAACUCAGGCAUAUAAGCUUCUGUUUUGUGUCUUGUGAAGGGAAGAAUGGUGUUAUAAUGUGAUUAGUAAUUUUUUAUAGGUGUGUUUAUAUGGAAGUAUUGAAAUGCUUCAGUUAGUGAUGUUCUGGAAAAAAAUUGAAAUGCCAUUACACAAUGUUUCAGAUAUGUGUGGCUUUUUUCUUUUAUUUUUUGACACAGCUGAGAGACAUUUCUAAUUUGACAUAUAUACGAGUAUGAAUGUGUAUAUUAAAUUCCUGUAUUUCAUUCUUGAAAAAAUGUUUAGUUGCAGGAUUUGAUCACACUGGUCAUGUUGUAUAUAAUAUUUCUGAAUAUGUUUGAAGGUUGCCGAAGUAGGUAACGUUUCUUUAUUGGCUUUGUACAAAGUCAAGAAAAGAAACCAAGAUCAUAAAUUACCAUAUUACCAUAAUAUUUUAACUAACAACUAUGUAUAUAAUCUGUAUUUAAACCUAUAAAAUUUGUUUGAAUACAUCCUUCAACUAUUAAUUUACAUAAUUCUGAAAAUGUAGUUGGGAAGAUUAUCUUCCAGGUUUUGCUAAACGUUUCUGGUUUCUAGCACAAUCCCUUUUCUUACUUGGUAAAGUGAUGCUUUGUGAGUUUAUGAGCAAGAAAAGUGGAUUUUUAAGCUUAUUAAUUGCCAUGGUAAUGUCACCACAGGAACUCUAGAACAAAGCAUGUAAACUUUUGACAGUUAAAUGUUUGUAAUCAUAAACUGGUUGUCUGAUAGGAGAAAAUAAUUUUUUUAGAGUGGAUACAUUUGGAGGAAACAACAGAUAACCAGUAUUUCCAAACAUGCACACAUAGUCACCACCUCAUUCAGAAAGUCUCUUAAGCCUUUAAUAUGUAAUGUGUAUCUUUAAAAACACAUAUCCCUCAUUCAGCCAGGCAUGAGCACCAUCUCAAAUCCCUUCCUCCAAUGCAUUCUGCUUCCCAGACAAGGCGAUGCCAAAGAGAACCAAACCCUUGGGAUCAUCUAGUGGAGUACCAGCACUGUGGACAGGUGCUUUACUACUUAAUCUAUUUGUGGCAAUAAGAUAUGGACAUGAUUCUGUUUUCUAAUCUAUUCCCAGUGAAGGAGGAAUUGCCGUUAUUUAAAGCUACCUUUCCAAAACUCACUGUGGUUAAUUAUAAACAUCAUGGGGGGAUAUAUGAUAUUUGGCUGAGUUAAAAGUGUAGGAUAGAGGCAGCAUGCCCAAAUUUUCAAAACUCAUAUGCUAAUUAAUAUAUUAUGGUGCUGCUUUACCUCUUUUAGCAGCCAGCUAAUGUUUAAGUCUGUAAAAUAGUGAACAGGGUAAGCCAUGUUUUAAAGCUUUAUUUCAGUCACAACUGAGGAUAGUUAGAACUGUCACUUGUUGAAACACGUUUUGUCCAUUAACACUUGCUUUGGAAACAGACAUGAAACAGAUUGUUUCAUCAUCUUUUUU
rnacentral:lncRNA from 1 species